UGGGUGGGAGAUAGUAGCAGGUGGUGGGGCCUGUGUACGCAGUUUAUAGGAUUCACGAAGUGACUCUUUUUUAAAUUAUCAUUUAUCAAUUAAUAUAAACUAUUCAAGAUUUGUUUCAAUGCAAUAGAUGUGCAAACGUGAUGUGGCAAUUGCGUCAAAAUUGAGUGAAAAUGUUCUCGAGAAUAUUCGAGUAAGUCAAGUAAUCAACGUAACAAUCAUGUGAAUAGAGUUAUCUGAUGAUUUGCCAAGGAGAGUUACGAUUUGGAGACCUCGAUUCUCAUUUGAAGUGGGAAAUGGACAAUUUCUCUUCAAUAUACUUUAUAACAAUCAAUUGUCAGAAGUGUAAUGUCAUCGUGAUUUGAAGCAUUGCAUCGUGAAAUUUGUAACUAAUAUUCUAGAAAUGUAAAUUCAAUGUUAUAUUUGUAGAUAA